GUGCACAGCUCUCAUCUCGCAGCCAAAACCACUUUACUAUCUCGCAGCCAACCUGUAGCAAAAGCUAAUCAAACUAGCUAUCAAUCAUGAGCUCCGGCGGCGGCGUCUGCGGCGGCGGCGAUCGUGGACCUGGCGCACAACGGCAACCUGCGGGCGAACUGGGUGGCCAUAUGCAUGCAGUUCCACGGCUUCUGCCAGCGAACCAGCGGAUCCGUCGUUGCCUCCUUCCUCACCGUCGUCAUCCUCAUGUUCCUCGUCAUCUUGGCCGCCUGCUCUAUCCGCAAGCGCUAGCUUAAUCAUCUUGCUAGCUAAUUAAAAAAGAUUGUGCUUAAUUAUACAUGCAUAUAAUAUUUACGUUUGAUUUCUAUCUGCAUGCGCGAGCGAGUGCGUUUUUAUUUUCGAAUUGUAAUCCUCUUCUGUACUACAUGCAUUUCUUUACUUGUGAGCAUUGGCAUUGGCGAGUGAUCGAGCAGUAGUGCAUUGUAAAAGUUCACCUGUGCAUCUAUCGUUUCACUUUCUUUCUUUCUUGUAAAAGAUCAACGUUGUGUGAUCAUCGUGCUCUGUAAUCUGAAUUGAACAGCUUGUUUAAAAC
rnacentral:sRNA from 1 species